rnacentral:rRNA from 1 species
UACAUGUUGGGACCCGAAAGAUGGUGAACUAUGCCUGAGUAGGGCGAAGUCAGGGGAAACCCUGAUGGAGGCUCGUAGGGAUUCUGACGUGCAAAUCGAUCUUCAAACUUGGGUAUAGGGGCGAAAGACUAAUCGAACCAUCUAGUAGCUGGUUCCCUCCGAAGUUUCCCUCAGGAUAGCUGGGACAAUCACGCAGUUUUAUUAGGUAAAGCGAAUGAUUAGAGGAAUCGGGGAUAAAAUGUCCUUGACCUAUUCUCAAACUUUAAAUUGGUAAGAACUCCCGUCUUCGCUUAAUUGAAGCAGGAGGUUCAAUGCGUGUCCUUAGUGGGCCAUUUUUGGUAAGCAGAACUGGCGAUGAGGGAUGCUCCUAACGUCUGGUUAAGGUGCCAAACUGCACGCUCAUCAGAAACUACAAAGGGUGUUAGUUCAUACAGACAGCAGGACGGUGGCCAUGGAAGUCGGAAUCCGCUAAGGAGUGUGUAACAACUCACCUGCCGAAUGAACUAGCCCUGAAAAUGGAUGGCGCU